GAAACCGUUCAGGGGUAAACCUGAGAAACCCAAAUAGUUCGAAAGGGGAGAUUCAUCAUCUGCUGUGCUGGCUCCCGUUGGUGCGCGAAACCCCGAAAGGGGGGUGUCCGUUGCUUUUCCGCAAGGAGGGCACACGGAUGUACGGCCAACGGCGAACGUUCCGGCUACGUAGACGUGCACUUCUCCCCUAGUAGGACGUCGCGACCCGUUGCGUGUCGGUCUACGGCUUGAGCGGUUAGACCGUUGCGUCGCCUUGUGCGUGCGCGACGGACCCUCGGUGACCCGACCGGCUGCGCGACGGUGUUUCAGAUGGUAUCGGGCCGCAACCAGUCUUCUUUUCGAACGGUGCGUCAGGCCCGCCGCAAGCUCGGUCAGCUUUGUUUGCCCUGUGGUACGGAUGUUCUUCCCGUUCACGGGCCUGGCCAGCUGUUAGCAGGCGGAGCCCUCGGACUGGCCAAGCUUUGAAUUACCUGUCGGCGGCGCUAUUGCUUUGGGUACUUUCAGGACCCGUCUUGAAACACGGACCAAGGAGCCUAACAUGUGCGCGAGUCAUUGGGAUGAGUAAACCUAAAGGCGAAAUGAAAGUGAAGGUCGUCCUCUGCGUCGGCCGAGGGAGGAUGGGCGCUGCAAAGUGCUCCGCACUCCCGGGGCGUCUCGUUCUCAUUGCGAGAAGAGGCGCACCUAGAGCGUACACGUUGGGACCCGAAAGAUGGG
rnacentral:rRNA from 1 species